rnacentral:lncRNA from 1 species
CCCUGGACUCCUUUCUGAGGCUUCAUGAAAGAUAGAGGGGGGUUUCACAUAACUGCAUUUCAAAUAACUCUAAGGCUCAUGACACCAAGAUACUUUUUAAGGUUUUAGAAAACUUGCCCUCCUCUGCUGACCAUGCCAAGAUGCACUGGUGGCUUUGGUUUGCCUUAUUUUGCCAUCUUCAGUUUUAAAAGUAUUGAGAGACAGAGGAUGCUUGUUUGUUUUCAUUUUGUUUUAAUUCCAGAAGCUAAGUAAUCACUUAAUAUAUAUUUUCUUUGACAAUUAACAAAAGUGAUUCAUACUUUUUGUGGAAGUCUAUUUUCUUUCCAGCAGCACACGCCCACAUUUCUUUGGUGACUUACAGAGCAGAACAAUAAGCACCGAAUCUGUUUUUCACCAACCAGGAUUCCUCGCCAGGCUUUUCCCAGCAUACUCACGCAGAUGGAAUUUCUGGCUCACGCUUCGUCCUUUUGCUGUUGUUGUUGUGUUUGUUGAGGUUGUUGUUAGGUGUUUUCCUCUGAACUGAAAAAGGGAUAUAUCUAUGCUCUCCCUGAUCUCUCGGGAAGCUGACAAAACAAAGAAGCGUACGUGCCCAGCACACACAGCCCCGCCCAACCCUGUGGUGUAGUUUGUCCUGCCCAAACACAUGAACCACAAAGUGCGCUCAUUCACAAACACACAACUUCCUUUCCUGAACAACAGCGCCUCCCGCUCCCGCUGGAAAGGGUGUCCCCAGCUGUCUGGGAGAUGUCCUGCCCCGCCGCACGGGGGUGGAAUUUGCAGUUUUGCAGAGGAGUCACCAAGACGAGGCAAUUUGCUUGCUCUUGGUAAAGUUGUUUUGUUGUUGUUGCCGUUGAUUCUAUUUCUCUUUCUGGAACUGAAAUGUUGGCCUUUGGAGAAUUCCUGCGCUAUAAGGAGUACACAGACUUGGGAAAACUUAGCACACCAAGAGAAGGAGUGGCACUAUGUGUUUUGCCAAAACCCAUCUGAAAUUUCCUGUUUUCCACGUUUGGGAUGUAACGUUAACUUUUAGGGUCAGAGUUGCUCUCUCCCGGGGAAGUUGCAACUUUUUAUUCCUGACUUCUUCAAGGGCUUGUGAAAGAUCUCCAAUGUGCUUCUACAAAAGAUACAAAUGCCUUUUUAAGAAAACCCUCUGUGAGCUGCACUCAUUGGAUCUGAAACCAGAUGCAUUCAAUUUGCCUUUAAGUCUUCACCAGCUCAUCCUCAAGGAGGGAGGUAUCCAGAGAGGCUAAUGGAAGAGACAGGCUUUGGGAUUUAUUUGCAGAGAGGUUAGGCAUUCAGACAUGUGGAAAGAGAGAUGAAAGGAAAGUGCACCUGAGGCUGAACAAGUGACUAAAGGAGAAGCCACUGUGCCUGUCGAAAGAACAAUGAAUAAUCCAGAAUUGAUAGAUAAGUAAGACUGGGGAAGGAAGAGAAAGGAAGACACAGCCUCUGAGAGCCGGAUGAAGACACAAAUGGGAUGGAGGCUGCGGCUGUUAAACCAUCAGGACUCAGCGGCUGUUAAACCAUCAGGACUCAGCAAUUAUUUCAUGUGGAGACAAGUGAUGGCAAAGCCAAAAGGCCACGGGUGUUGAGCUGUUGACGAGAAACUGAAAGUGCCAUUGUGUUUAUACAGGAAGCUGCCAUUAGUAGGGAUUUGAAAAAGCAAGAGGAGAGGAUGAGUUUAGUGGGGAGUUCUUACACUUCAGGUGCUAGUGGAUACCACCAAGUCAAUAUUGAGUAGCAGGAAACCAGGGCCUGAUGUUCCGUCAGGCCAUCAGGGCGGAGACAUUGUGGAGAGGAAGUUUUGAGGCUGUGAGAUUAGGAGAGAAGCAUGGAGUGUAGAGCAGGAACUAGGCCUCUCUUUACCCAAAAUCCAAAACCCCACUUAUGCCAGACACACUCAAUACUUUCUGCUGGGAUCCUCAAUUCUCAUAAAGUUUUCAUAAUAAGGCCGGGCGGGGUGGCUUAUGCCUGUAUUCCCAGCACUUUGGGAGGCCGAGGCGGGCGGAUCACCUGAGGUCAGGAGUUCAAGACGAGUCUGGCCAACAUGGUAAAAACCUGUCUCUACUGAAAAUACAAAAAUCAGCCGGGCUUGGUGGUAGGCGCCUACAGCUAGUCGGGACGCUGAGGCAUGGGAAUCGCUUGAACCCAGGAGGCAGAGGUUGCAGUGAGCCAAGAUCAUGCCACUGCACACCAGCCUGGGGGAUACAGCAAGACUCUGUCACAAUAAAAAAAACAAAAAGUUUUCAUAAAUUGGGAUGUUUCCUCUAUUCCUUCCCCUGUCUCAUUCUUGAGGGAUUGAAGAUAGUGUUUGAAAUCUCACUGGCAACCCUUCCUGCUCCCUUUCCCAGCAGUUCCAUGACCUUAUCCACUCUAACAAGCCCCGUUUCCUCCCUGCUUCUGCCACUCGCUGAACACAGUACCUUGGCAUUGCUGUCCUACAUACUCCAUUCUAGCCGUGACCGCUCUUCCGGAACACAAUCUCCUACUAGCUGCUAGGUCUGAGUGACUAACAUAAAAUUCUCCCUGGUCUGUCAGUAUUUGAAAUACAGCCGCUUGUCUUGAAAUGUUUAUUGUCACUUGUUCUUGGUAUAAGAUGAGCAUUUAAAAUACACACACACACACACACACACACGCACGCACAUAUACAGGUAUAUCUGAGGGUUUACUAUGUGCCAAGAACCAUGCUGGAAUCCUUUCAUAAAUAUGGCCUCCAUCAUUCCUGAGAACAAUCCUAUUAAAAUGUGAUGUGAAUGCAUUUUCUCAUUCAUUAAAAGUGUGUGUGUGUGUGUGUGUGUGAGAGAGAGAGAGAGAGAGAGAGAGAGAGAAUAUGACAUCCAUCUGGUAACAGAGACCUGAUCUCAGUUUCCCCAUCUGGGUACUGCUUAUAGAAAUUGAUUUUGGACUUCAAGGUAGAAUAUGAUGCAAGCUAACCCUAGGGGAACCCUGACAAAUUAAAGGGGAAAAUGCCUGUAGGGAGAUGCCAUGCUGAGUCCCCACAGAGCCCAGUUCAGCUGGGGAUGUUGCUCUGAGAACAUGCAGAUGAAUGUCUUAUUUGUUUUGGGCUUCUUAGACUUCAAUCCAUUCCAGGAACCCUUUUAGGGUUUACUAUGCAGCCAAGUGUAAAAUGCAUCUGAUUUUUAGGAAAUUUGCUAAAAGAAGCUAUACAACUCAUGCCAAAAACCUCUCCACAGCAGCUAAAAGUUCCAUUAAAGUAUGUCAUUAAACACAUGUUCCAAAAAGGUUUUGUAUCUCAUUUUGUUCUCUGGGGUCUACAUUUUGAAGUAAAACAUCUUCACUAACUUGG